rnacentral:tRNA from 1 species
UUAGCUUAGUCAGUUAGAGCACGGUGCUUGUAACAUCAGGGCUGUGGGUUCAAUCCCCAUA